rnacentral:rRNA from 1 species
AGGGUUCGAUUCUGGCUCAGAACGAACGCUGGCGGCAGGUCUUAGGCAUGCAAGUCGAACGGAUGACAAGGAAGCUUGCUUCUUGAAGUCAGUGGCGCACGAGUGAGUAACGCGUGGGAAACUGCCCUUCACUGGGGAAUAACGUUUGGAAACGAACGCUAAUACCGCAUACGCCCGCAAGGGGAAAGAUUUAUCGGUGAUGGAUGUGCCCGCGUUGGAUUAGCCAGUUGGUGGGGUAAUGGCCUACCAAAGCAAUGAUCCAUAGCUGGUCUGAGAGGACGAUCAGCCACGCUGGAACUGAGACACGGUCCAGACUCCUACGGGAGGCAGCAGCUAAGAAUAUUGGGCAAUGGGGGAAACCCUGACCCAGCCAAUGCCGCGUGAAUGAAGAAGGCCUUCGGGUUGUAAAGUUCUUUUAGUCAUGAAGAUGAUGACAGUAGUGACAGAAAAAGCACCGGCUAACUUCGUGCCAGCAGCUGC